AAGAUUCGUCGUAACUCCUUCUAAAUAACGGUCGCGUCUCGACUAUCGUUAUCUUCCAACUCUUCUCAACAAACUGAAUUCUAACGUCUAUCAAUGUACGUCUUAAUUGACAACUUCUCUAACCUACCUAUUUUCUAUAAAUAUCACAUUAUCCUUACAAUAGGAACAACAACACUAUAACAAUAACCUGAUGAUAAUAAGAAUAGCUUCCUACAUGUAUAUGUUACGGGUAAAGUCUUGAGAGCAGUCUCAGCAAAGAGGUCUCAGGCACGCUCCGACACAAGUCUCCGAGACUGAACGUGUCUCAAGUGCUAAGAUGAACAACACCCUGAGAUUAAUCUCGAAACUUUCUCUCGAGAUUUUAUUUCAGGUGGACACUUACCAUUAGAGGAGUUUUUCUAAACUUCAGUGUGACCGCAGCUCCCUGGCCAAGAAUUUAUGAGCAAAUGGAAAAGUAAACAACAUCAGAGGCAGCAAAUUCUUGUCAAUUAAAAAAAUCAAAUAAAAAGUUUUAAAUCUUAUAUGUACUUAUAUAAAAAAUUAUGAAAAUAUUGAAA